GGUCGGGGAAGGGCCGGCGGCCGCCUCCUUCCUCCGCCGGCGAGGGGAGGAGGGAAGCGGAGCCGGGUAGGCACGGCCGGGCCCGGAACAAAAUGGCCGGGGCGGAGAGCGGCGGCUCCGCCGCGCCGGGUGAAGAUGUCAAACCAUUUACUCCUGAGACAGCCAAGGAAAUUGUGAUGUCUCUACAGCAACCUGCAGUCUUCUGUAAUAUGGUUGGCGACUGGCCAGCCCUGCACUGGAAUGUGAAAUACCUUUCUGCAGUGUUGGAUGGAAAGACAAUAGAGUUUAGAAUAGGAUCGAAGACAAUGGAUUUAGUUCCCCAGUUUGAAACCAGGUGUAGCUAUGUGAAAGCUACACUUGAAGAGUUUUUGGCUUGGAGUAGUGGACAACCUUCUUGUCUCUCUGGACCAUUCAGUUGUUUCGAGUACUCCAAAUGUUGGGCUUAUGCUGACUACAAGUAUAUUGCCAGGAUAUUCGAAGACAAAGCGGAGAUUUUCCAGGAUAUAAGGUGGUCUGACUUUGGUUUUCCUGGAAGAAGUGGAAAAGAGAGCACACUGUGGAUUGGGUCUGAAGGAGCAAACACUCCCUGCCAUUUGGACUCCUACGGCUGCAAUUUAGUGUUGCAAGUACAAGGAAGGAAGAGAUGGCACCUCUUCCCACCUGGUGACACCAGUUUCCUUUAUCCCACCAGGAUCCCUUAUGAGGAAUCCAGUGUAUUCAGCCAAGUCAAUGUUGCCAAGCCUGAUCUGAAACGCUUUCCAAAGUUUAGGAACGCAACAGCCCAUGUGGUUACACUCAGUCCAGGACAGGUCCUGCUUGUUCCAAGGCACUGGUGGCACUACGUGGAAUCCAUCGACCCCAUCACCAUCAGCAUAAACUCGUGGAUUGAACUGGAUGCAGAUCAUGAAGCCCGUGUAGAAGAAGCAAUAACUCGAACGCUGGUAUGUGCCAUAAAAUCAGCAGAAAAUCCCAGUGAAGAUGAUAUCUGGCUAAAUCCCACAGAGGUUGAGGCAACAUCCCAUGAAAUCAAUCUCCAGUACCUGAAUAAAGCAAUGUCUGCAUAUUUCAAGUGUCAAAAGGCAAGCGUAUCAGAGCAGACACGUCCCAGUAGCACUGAAGCAGAGCGAGUGAUGAGUGCCUCACGCAAGAGGAGGAAAAAGCAAGUUGGCUGGGAGCCAGAGGGCUGCAAAUUACUAACCCAUGAAUUUGGCCUUUCAACAUUUAAAGCAGAAAAGUUCCAGAAAAUACCUUUUGGGCCUCACCUCAUUCAAGUUCUACCACAGUCUCAAGAAACAAGCUCAGCGGGUACAGUUGAAAGUGACUAUAGAGAUCUUCUCCAUGAAAACAAAGGAGGACAUUUUGGAAAAUUACACUGCACCAGGAAGCAAUUGGCAAUGAGUAAUGACUUAGAAAUGCCUGCAAAUCAAAUGGAUUCAGACGGCAGUCCAAAUGCCUCCCAAACAGCCCUUUCUACCAAUGAUUUGCUAGACUGUUUGGUUAAUCCACAUGUCAUCAGCUUAGUGGCUCAGCUGCUGCUGGAGAGAGCAGGAGUUUAAUGCUCAAGUGCUUUAUCAUAUUUGAAAUAAAGAAGUCAAAUAACAGCCUUGUUCUGGCUGUUUAAGAAAGUAUCCCCUGCUCACUCUCAGCAAUGGGCAUGGCAGCAGUUGAGCAAAUGGUGACCUACAGGCAGCACCAGGAUGGUUCCAGUAGUGAAGUGCUCUUCAUCCCUGCCACAGCUGGGUGAUGGUAAGAAAUUGUCACCAUGUGGCCAAAUGUGGAAGUUAAAGCCCUGGGGCCACUCCAAGCAUCAUGCUGGGCCAGCAUGCUGAUCUCCACACACAUCCAGUCUGUCCCACUUGUCCAGUGGAAACUAUGGUCUUCCCUGCCCCAAAAGCAGCUACAGAGGGGUUCACAGGCAGGCCCCAUUUAUCUCUCCGGGGCUGCUGGACAUCACUACUCACUGGCCCUGUGCACAGCACUCACCUAGGGAUUUGCCCAUUGCUUGUCUGCAAAGAAAAAAUACAUUUCCAAAUCAAAAAGUCCUACCUCUUGAGACAACAGGAUGGGGGAAAACCCUAAACAGCCUCCUCAGUUUCAGUCUUUCACAGAAAAUCUCCCUAUUACAUUUCAGUGGGCAGCACUGUAUUCCACUGCACUGCUUCCCCCCCCACGUUCACAUCUCUCAGGAUUCUGCUCCAGCACCAGUCUCGUGAUACCACAGAGCAGUGUCAUAUGAUACAGCAUGAGCCAUAAAUCAGAGUUUUAACUACUAACAAGUUUGGCACAUCGAGGAGGUAGAGUGAAUCUUUCUGCAGUACUAACUGCCUUUUAAGAAUAAAAGCAGUGCUACAAAUCA